UUCAGUCCAAUCCACACCAGACCACCCCCGAUCCAGAUUCCCUCCACCUCCUCUCCUCUCCUCUCCUGGCCUCCAUUCCACCUCCUCCCCUCUCCUCUGUCGUCGGGAUCCCCUCCCCUUUCUUCUCCGAUCCAUGUCGUCCCCGUCUCUCCCUCUCUCUGAUCCAUGGCGGGAUCCUCCGCCGUGUACACGUCCUGCAGGUUGCACGCGCGCGCAGCCUUCCUCCACCACCUGGCCCACAAGGCCCACUGCGGCGGCCAGCCCAGGCUGCUCCCUGCCGCGGCGUGGAGGCGCGGCGGCCCCGAGGGCGAGCCUAGUGGUGGAGCGGACGACGACGGAGGAGGCGGUGUACGAGGUGGUGUUGCGGCAGGCCACGCUGAUGGAGGACCUACAGGGGCGCCGGGGCGGAGGCGGAAGGAAAGCGAGCGAGGAACCCUAGCCGCCUGAGGAAGGAACGCUCCGACCCGCAAGGCCGGCGACGAUGGUGGCGGUUCGGUGUGCGGCGAGGAGGCUCGGUGGCUCCCUGCUCCAGCGAGCGCAGGGGGUGGUCUCGGAGGAGGGACGCCGGCUCAUGCCAAGCAAGCUCAUGCGCUCCCGCCACUUCUCCACCCAGGCCCCCAGCGAGAAGGAGGGGAGCUGGCUUUCUUCACGUCUCGGGGAAGUUUCUUCCUUGGAUUCAAUAAGGAGGGGACCCGGCCUUCUUCACGUCUUGUGCAACAACCCGGUGGGAGCCCGGUGGGUGUCGUGCUCAUCGAACACUCGGAGGCAGACUUCGCCGUGAAGCCUAGAGACUGCGUUGUGCAGAUGAUCGUCCAGGUGAUUGUGACGUCGGAAGUCGUCGAGGUGGAGGACCUCGACGCCACCGUCCGGCGGGAGGGAGGGUUCGGGUCCACCGGCGUUUGAACUCCGAGCCUUGGUAGAUAUAUCUAGAGAAGUGGUCUGGUUGUUUGUGUCUAAUGUUAAAUGGGAUCUCGUGAUCUCUUCGAGUUGAGAUGUUCAAUGUUGCAGCCAUGAAUGCUGGAAGUGCUAAACUGGUUUUGUGACCUUAGUUUAUUUUGCAUCGAACGUGUCUUGAUUUCCAUCCAUGAA